rnacentral:rRNA from 1 species
UCCGGUGGCGAUAGCGGAGGGGAAACACCCGUUCCCAUUCCGAACACGGAAGUUAAGCCCUCCAGCGCCGAUGGUACUGCAUAAGCGGGAGAGUAGGUCGCUGCCGGGG